rnacentral:rRNA from 1 species
UACGAGGGGGGCGAGCGUUGUUCGGAAUUAUUGGGCGUAAAGGGUGCGUAGGCGGUUCCGCAAGUCCUGUGUGAAAUCUUCGGGCUUAACUCGAAGCCUGCACGGGAAACUGCGGGGCUUGAGUGUGGGAGAGGUGAGUGGAAUUCCCGGUGUAGCGGUGAAAUGCGCAGAUAUCAGGAGGAACACCGAUGGCGAAGGCAGGUCUCUGGGCCACUACUGACGCUGAGAAGCGAAAGCAUGGGGAGCGAACAGG